UACGAAGGGGGCUAGCGUUGCUCGGAAUCACUGGGCGUAAAGGGCGCGUAGGCGGCCAUUCAAGUCAGGGGUGAAAGCCCAAGGCUCAACCUUGGAAUUGCCUUUGAUACUGUUUGGCUUGAGACCGGAAGAGGUCGGCGGAACUGCGAGUGUAGAGGUGAAAUUCGUAGAUAUUCGGAAGAACACCAGUGGCGAAGGCGGCUCACUGGCCCUGUACUGACGCUGAGGUGCGAAAGCGUGGGGAGCAAACAGG
rnacentral:rRNA from 1 species